rnacentral:rRNA from 2 species
AAUCCAUAGGUUAAUGAGGCGAACCGGGGGAACUGAAACAUCUAAGUACCCCGAGGAAAAGAAAUCAACCGAGAUUCCCCCAGUAGCGGCGAGCGAACGGGGAGGAGCCCAGAGCCUGAAUCAGCAUGUGUGUUAGUGGAAGCGUCUGGAAAGGCGCGCGAUACAGGGUGACAGCCCCGUACACAAAAGCGCAUGUGCUGUGAGCUCGAUGAGUAGGGCGGGACACGUGGUAUCCUGUCUGAAUAUGGGGGGACCAUCCUCCAAGGCUAAAUACUCCUGACUGACCGAUAGUGAACCAGUACCGUGAGGGAAAGGCGAAAAGAACCCCGGCGAGGGGAGUGAAAAAGAACCUGAAACCGUGUACGUACAAGCAGUGGGAGCCCCACCACCAAAGCAUUUGCUGUACCGCGUUGACGGAGCGAAGCGACGUCAAACCGAUAAAACAGCAGUGUAAAGUGAGCCGCAGGGCG